GUGUUGUAGCCCUUCGCCACCACGAGCGCUACCGUGCCUACGGUCGUCGGGGCGAACCCUACCACUUUCUAUUGUCCCCCGAGAAGCCGGUAGGGUUCGCCCCGACGACCGAGAUCAAGUUGAAAUCCCUCCAUGUCCUCUCUGGCAGUAUUUCCCGCGCAGUUUCUCAGUACGUGGCGUUAUCAGUCUGAUGACCCUUUCGUUGUCAACCGCGACCUCGCUGUGAGGAUGACAAGUGUUGUAGUGGGGAAAUUCUUGUGAUGAAUUUUACCUUAUGGAUUCAUCGCACGGGGAGUGGAACGUUAGUUUCAAAAAUUAUUGCUAUUCCCCUAUUUGUCAAAGUCAACUUGUUAGCGGUUGACCCAUUGCAAAGCUGCAUAUUCUGUAGACAGAGAAGCUGGCAUGGUAAUUAUGAUUUCAGUUAUUUAGUGCAUCGUGAGUGGAACCAGCAAGUAAAGUACAUCAUAAUUUGUUACAAUUUAAAUAGAAAAGAAAAGAAAAAUCUUUGGUUUUUUACUGGUGAUAAAAAUUUUAGGAACCUUGUUAGUCAGUGUGGAUGAGCUAGUUGAAUUCACAUGUCCAAAAUUGAAUUGCAGAUUCUCUGUACCACAGACUACAUCUGUACAAAUACUGCACUGUAAGUAAAUUUGAAUUUCCAUCAUGUUGGUUAGCACUAGUACUAGCUAAAAGUCAACGACAGAAGAGUUGCUUAAAAGUAAUUUUUAAUUUGUUUUUCCAAGAAUGGUUAAUGGUGUAAAGUUUUAAUUAAAACAUUUUAGCUUCUACAGGAAAACCAAUUCCGAAAAUCAUGUGAGUGAACUGCUGAUGGAUAUCCAAUUGAAAAAAUUUCUCUUCAGAAUUCUUUAAAAAAAAAAUAAGACUGUAAAAAAAAUAGUGAUUUCCAAUAUUAUUUAAAAGCUUUACCAUGAUGUAAUAACAAUUUGGUUCAGGACAGCCUUAAACAAAACUCUUCUUUAACCCCAGGUUUUUAAAAUGAAGUGUAGCAGAUAUGACUUGUUUAACAUAGUUAUGGCUACGUCUACCCAUGGCUGGAAAAGGUGAACAGCUGACUGUUGUAUGUGUGACAGUGUGAGAUUGAAGAUUUCCUAGACAGAAUUCUGGCUACUUGUCAUUCGGUACCACCUUUUAUGUAAUUUUAGACAACAUCCAGUAAGUCAUAUCAAUUAAAAUUGUAAUCCUUAUUAUAAACACAUCUGUGAACAAAGAGUUAGCUUCAGGAUUGAGAUUCCUCAACACAUACAACAAGGACCCCAUUUCAAGUUGUAGCAUCCAGCCUUUUCUCAACUGCCAUGUAGCUUCUUUUUACAGGAUAGAACAAGGAUUCUCCAUUGCAGUUGGAGAUGUUACAUAUGGGCUGUUAGGCAGAGCACUGCUUAAGAAAGCAGUGCAAUUGGGUAAGUAUGACUUCGGACGUUUCUGCUAGGAGUUCAAGAAUCGCGAAGCAAUUGGAACAACCACAUCUGUACUGGAAUUAGUAUGAUGGGAUAUUGGUAUGAAAAUGAUAUUGCAAGUUUAUUUCUUACAGGGUGAUCAGAAUAACCAAAAAAUUGGGAACAGUGACCAAAACACGGAAAUGUGAAGUUUAUUUUCAUGGAUUCUCUGAAAUUGAAUUUUGGUUUUGAUCGAUGAAACCGCUGUUCCAGCUACAGGAUCUUUGCAAAUGGAUAUCUUGCCCGACCACGAAGCUUUGCAUUCGAUGACAUUUAAUCCCGUCUCCAAGGAGUCUGAGGAACUACCGUUAAUGCAGAUGACGAAGAGAGUCAGGAUGAUACGAAAACUAAAUUCUCAGAUGUAGUGUCUGGAAUUUUAUCUAUAACCGUGUGCCUGUAAAUGUAUAUGGCCCCGUCCAAUUGUAUGCUAUGAUUCCCUUUAGUUUAAGCAGAAAGUGUUUUUGUUUUUUUGUGAGAUGUCUUGUCAUUAUUACAAGUACUGCAGCCAA